rnacentral:rRNA from 1 species
UAAGGAAUAUUGGUCAAUGGGCGAAAGCCUGAACCAGCCAUGCCGCGUGGAGGAUGAAGGUCCUCUGGAUUGUAAACUUCUUUUAUUUGGGACGAAAAAAGGGGAUUCUUCCUCACUUGACGGUACCAGAUGAAUAAGCACCGGCUAACUCCGUGCCAGCAGCCGCGGUAAUACGGAGGGUGCAAGCGUUAUCCGGAUUCACUGGGUUUAAAGGGUGCGUAGGCGGGCAGGUAAGUCAGUGGUGAAAUCUUUGGGCUUAACCCGAAAACUGCCAUUGAUACUAUCUGUCUUGAAUAUUGUGGAGGUUUGCGGAAUAUGUCAUGUAGCGGUGAAAUGCUUAGAUAUGACAUAGAACACCUAUUGCGAAGGCAGCAAACUACGCAUAUAUUGACGCUGAGGCACGAAAGCGUGGGGAUCAAACAG